GACGAACGCUGGCGGCGUGCCUAAUACAUGCAAGUCGAACGCACUCUCGUUUAGAUUGAAGGAGCUUGCUCCUGAUUGAUAAACAUUUGAGUGAGUGGCGGACGGGUGAGUAACACGUGGGUAACCUGCCCUAAAGUGGGGGAUAACAUUUGGAAACAGAUGCUAAAUACCGCAUAAAACCUAACACCGCAUGGUGUAGGGUUGAAAGAUGGUUUCGGCUAUCACUUUAGGAUGGACCCGCGGUGCAUUAGUUAGUUGGUGAGGUAAAGGCUCACCAAGACCGUGAUGCAUAGCCGACCUGAGAGGGUAAUCGGCCACACUGGGACUGAGACACGGCCCAGACUCCUACGGGAGGCAGCAGUAGGGAAUCUUCCACAAUGGACGAAAGUCUGAUGGAGCAACGCCGCGUGAGUGAAGAAGGUUUUCGGAUCGUAAAACUCUGUUGUUGGAGAAGAAUGUAUCUGAUAGUAACUGAUCAGGUAGUGACGGUAUCCAACCAGAAAGCC
rnacentral:rRNA from 1 species